UUUAAUUUUUUUGUUUCAAUAAUUUGUUCAUUUUUUUAUUUAUAGGAAUGGCUCCUCCGAUUCGGUACGAUUCGUAUUUGGCAGGUCCCUUCGUAGACGUUUAGUGGCCAGGGCUGCAGCAUGGUGGAGGGAGUCGCUGAGGGUGUUUUGGAACAGUUUAAUGUUAGAUCCUACAGGCAAAAGUCUUCGAUUGUCAGGAAGUAAGUUUGGGUGCUGGUCCAUCGUGAUGUCUACAAAAACAGGUAAGUGGUCAGUACUUAAUCUGUUGUGGUUUAUUCCAGAAUAAACUCCAAAGUCCAUGGCUGAGGGAUUUUUUCGCCGGUCGUGUGGGAAAUGAGUAGGACCACCCGUCGCCAGGAUGUCCAGUUUCUUGUCAGCCUGGAUCACUUCAAGGAGAGUUCUGCCGCGUUUACAUGACCUUGAAUUA